rnacentral:rRNA from 1 species
AUACGUAGGGGGCAAGCGUUGUCCGGAAUUAUUGGGCGUAAAGCGCGCGCAGGCGGCUGUUUAAGUCUGGUGUUUAAGCCCGGGGCUCAACCCCGGUUCGCACUGGAAACUGGAUGGCUUGAGUGCAGGAGAGGGAAGUGGAAUUCCACGUGUAGCGGUGAAAUGCGUAGAGAUGUGGAGGAACACCAGUGGCGAAGGCGACUUCCUGGCCUGUAACUGACGCUGAGGCGCGAAAGCGUGGGGAGCAAACAGGAUUAGAUACCCUGGUAGUCCACGCCGUAAACGAUGAGUGCUAGGUGUUAGGGGUUUCGAUACCCUUGGUGCCGAAGUAAACACAGUAAGCACUCCGCCUGGGGAGUACGGUCGCAAGACUGAA